rnacentral:rRNA from 1 species
UGGGGAAUCUUGCGCAAUGGGCGAAAGCCUGACGCAGCAACGCCGCGUGCGGGAAGAAGGCCUUCGGGUUGUAAACCGCUGUCAGGAGGGACGAAGCCACUCGGGUGAAUAGCCCAGUGGGUGACGGUACCUCCAGAGGAAGCCCCGGCUAACUACGUGCCAGCAGCCGCGGUAAUACGUAGGGGGCGAGCGUUGUCCGGUAUCAUUGUGCGUAAAGCGCGUGUAGGCGGCUUGCCAAGUCCGGUGUGAAAUCUCGGGGCUCAACCCCGGAACUGCACUGGAAACUGGCUUGCUAGAGUCCGGAAGAGGAGAUUGGAAUGCCUGGUGUAGCGGUGAAAUGCGCAGAUAUCAGGAAGAACACCCGUGGCGAAGGCGGAUCUCUGGGACGGUACUGACGCUGAGACGCGAAAGCGUGGGG